rnacentral:rRNA from 1 species
ACGGCCGCGGUACCCUAACCGUGCGAAGGUAGCAUAAUCACUUGUUCUUUAAAUGAGGACUCGUAUCAACGGCAUCACGAGGAUCCUACUGUCUCCCCCCUCUAAUCGGUGAAACUGAUCUCUCCGUGAAGAAGCGGAGAUGUACAUAUAAGACGAGAAGACCCCAUGGAGCUUUAAACCCAACAACACCCGCCCCCCUCCAAAUCCUAUUAUUUACCCGGUGAUUGUUUGUUUGGUUUUAGGUUGGGGUGACCGCGGAGUAUAAGAUAUCCUCCAUGAAAAAAAGCUAACUGCCCUUAUUAGAGAAAGACACUUCCAAAAAAUAAUAAAUUAAUUUUAAAUGAUCCGACAUUCGAUCAACGAACCAAGUUACCCUGGGGAUAACAGCGCAAUCCGUCCCGAGAGCCCCUAUCGACAGGCGGGUUUACGACCUCGAUGUUGGAUCAGGGUAUCCCAGUGGUGCAGCAGCUACUAAAGGUUCGUUUGUUCAACGAUUAAAACCCU